AUUUAUUUUAUAGUUUUCUUUGAAUAAUUCACAUGUACAGGAUGAUAAUGCGUACGGGCGGACAGAUUAAUACUGUUGAGUGUACACAACUGAAUGUGAAAUUAUACACGUUAUAUGUAUAUUUGAUGAAACCUUCAUUUAAUUACUUUUGUUUUCUAUAUUAUAGUGUGUGGCCUUCAGAGAAGCAAAUUGUUAAGUGGAGCUCGCACACAAGAUGAAAUGCCCUAGAAUACUCGACGUGGAGGAGCUGUGCUUCUUAUCCUCUUGUAGACAGAAUGGCACAGUGACCUUGUCUUGGGUUGAAUGAAGCAAAUCCAGUCCUCCAUUACAAAAUGCUCUCAUGAGUAAACUUUGCUGCAAGUUCUUCAGUCCCACAGCACAAAUGAGGCUCAAAUAUACUGCCAAGAUGGUUAAACAGGAGUGGUGCAAACGAUCCAGUUGCCAUGAAAGCGGAGAUCACGAGUUUUGCCACUGUUGGUGCUUGCUUAUGCAUCUUAUAUUGUAAAUGUUGAAUCUGGUACACUAGUGGUAAUUAAAACUAAAAUGAUCUGUAGAGGAAAUAAAUAUACAAGUUAAA
rnacentral:lncRNA from 1 species